UACGUAGGGGGCAAGCGUUGUCCGGAAUCAUUGGGCGUAAAGAGCGCGUAGGCGGCCCUGUAAGUCCGCUGUGAAAGUCCAGGGCUCAACCCUGGGAUGCCGGUCGAUACUGCCGGACUAGAGUUCGGAAGAGGCGAGUGGAAUUCCCGGUGUAGCGGUGAAAUGCGCAGAUAUCGGGAGGAACACCUAUGGCGAAGGCAGCUCGCUGGGACGUUACUGACGCUGAGACGCGAAAGCGUGGGGAGCAAACAGG
rnacentral:rRNA from 1 species